UGGGGAAUAUUGGACAAUGGGCGCAAGCCUGAUCCAGCCAUGCCGCGUGAGUGAUGAAGGCCUUAGGGUUGUAAAGCUCUUUCGGCGGGGAAGAUAAUGACGGUACCCGCAGAAGAAGCCCCGGCUAACUUCGUGCCAGCAGCCGCGGUAAUACGAAGGGGGCUAGCGUUGUUCGGAAUCACUGGGCGUAAAGCGCACGUAGGCGGACAUUUAAGUCAGGGGUGAAAUCCCAGGGCUCAACCCUGGAACUGCCCUUGAUACUGGAUGUCUCGAGUCCGGGAGAGGUGAGUGGAACUCCGAGUGUAGAGGUGAAAUUCGUAGAUAUUCGGAAGAACACCAGUGGCGAAGGCGGCUCACUGGCCCGGUACUGACGCUGAGGUGCGAAAGCGUGGGGAGCAAACAGG
rnacentral:rRNA from 1 species